UGCCAGCAGCCGCGGUAAUACAGAGGGUGCAAGCGUUGCCCGGAUUCACUGGGUGUAAAGCGCGCGUAGGCGGACUGUUAAGUUAGAGGUGAAAUCCCGGGGCUCAACCCCGGAACUGCCUUUAAUACUGCAGUCUAGAGUUCGAGAGAGGUGAGUGGAAUUCCGAGUGUAGAGGUGAAAUUCGUAGAUAUUCGGAGGAACACCAGUGGCGAAGGCGGCUUUCUGGACCAAUACUGACGCUGAGAUGCGAAAGCGUGGGGAGCGAACAGGAUUAGAUA
rnacentral:rRNA from 1 species